ensembl:lncRNA
GCCAGCGCGGGGCGGGCGGGUCCCGGCUCCGCUCGGCUCCCGGCGGGCUCCGUCCCGCACCAUCCCCGGCACUCCAGGGCAAGAGGAGCAGCGCAAAAGACCCGCCUGGAAAGACGAGCGGACAAAACCGCAAGAAAUCGCUGCCAGCUUAGAGGGGCACACAGCCAUCCCGCAGGACAGGGGGCGGGGAGGGGGGGGCACCCAAAACCCAACCCAAAACCCAACCCAGCCCCACGCGAAGCACAGCGGCGCUUACAUCCUCCUCCUCGCAGUCACUUCGCGACUGGUACUGGAAGCGGGGCCGGCCGCCUUCCUGUUGCAAUGGACGCGGGGUCUUGCCGGCAGCGCCGUCCUCCUCGCUGCUCUGGGCGCCCAGGAGCAUGCUACACAUGAGGGUGAGGAUCAGUCCCACAUCAGUGGGAGGGAGAGAGAGGGAUGCUGCUCCCCAGUCCUCUGCACCGGCACCCGGAGAGAAGCCGGGGGGUUCAAGAGAGCAGAGACGGGGGAGUGAUGAGAGGAAGAAGAGAGAAGAUAGAUAAAUAAAUAAUAAAACGCAAUCGAGCCGUAACACCACAGGCCCCGGGAACGCUGCACCAUCCAGUGUUGGGAAGGAAAAAAAAAUAGAAGAGAAAAAAAAAAUAACCAAAACACUCCACGAAGACGUACCCCCGAUAAUGGCGCCUGAGUGGAUCAGCAUUAAAUGUGCUUUGGGGGUGUGCGUGUGUGUUUGCAAAAGCAGGGAGGAAAAAAAAAAAAAAAAAGGAAGGGGGGCUGGCUCAAUCGCUGGCUGUCAGCGGCUCCCCAGGCAGAGGUGGCGGAGCAGUCGCCUCCGAGGUCGCAUACCAACAGUGUGCACAAGCGAGAGGCAGAGUGACAGAGUGUGUGAGACGGAGUGGAAGAGGCUGGGAAGCCUCAUUCAAAGCACGUUGCUCUCCCAGGGAAGGAGGGCUCUUCUACGAUCAUCUCCUUUUCGCAUCUCAGAGCAAGUGAUGUAG